rnacentral:pre_miRNA from 1 species
CAGAUACUCCCUCCGUUCUAAAUUACUCGUCGCAGAAAUGAAUGUAUUUAGAACUAAAAUACAUCUAGAUACAUCCAUACCUGCGACAAGUAAUUCAGAACGAAGGGAGUACUAG